GAGGGUAUAGCUCAGUGGUAGAGCACAUGCCUAGCAUGCACAAGGUCCUGGGUUCAAUCCCCAGUACAUCCA
rnacentral:tRNA from 1 species